GUCGGUCAAUUUGGCAGUUGACUGUAGCUCUGCUUCUGGAGGACAGGGUGGUGGAAUAAUCCUCAUUUGGAUCCACAAUCCCUGGCGCCGCACGUUGAUGGUAGUGUCUCAUUUGAACUUAGUGUGAACAUUCUGGCUUAUUUGUAAAUUUGGGCUAGGAGGUUCUUAAAUAGCGGGGAAUUGCCCGAGGCUGGAAACAGAGCAGGGAAAACUCGCAGCACCCAGUGGCAGUGAGAUUGCACACUUGAGUGAUUGGUUGUCAGGAUUGCCGAGUGAGAUGGUUGGACUGCUAUCCGA
rfam:Rhizophagus irregularis DAOM 181602 strain DAOM 197198 GLOINscaffold_23985_Cont23847, whole genome shotgun sequence.